rnacentral:misc_RNA from 1 species
GGGUUCUCUUGCCGAUAUCAUAAAAAUUAGGAAGAGCAUUCCAGAACCUAUCCUUUCCUCAAUGGUUCAAAAGCUCUUGCAUGGUCUCAGUUAUUUGCACGGAGUCCGACAUUUAGUCCACAGAGACAUAAAGCCAGCAAAUCUACUUGUCAAUCUCAAGGGGGAGCCCAAAAUAACUGAUUUUGGAAUUAGUGCUGGUUUAGAAAGCUCAAUUGCUAUGUGUGCUACUUUUGUUGGAACAGUAACUUACAUGUCGCCGGAACGAAUACGGAAUGAGAAUUACUCUUAUCCAGCUGACAUCUGGAGCCUUGGGCUUGCACUGUUUGAGUGUGGUACAGGUGAAUUUCCAUAUACAGCUAAUGAAGGACCUGUCAAUCUCAUGUUGCAGAUCCUAGAUGAUCCGUCUCCUUCACUGUCAAGACACGACUAUUCACCAGAAUUUUGCUCAUUCGUUGAUGCUUGCCUCAAAAAAAAUCCUGAUGACAGGCUGACAGCAGAUCAGCUUCUAUCACAUCCAUUCAUUAUGAAGUAUAGCGAUUCUGCAUUAGACUUGGGUACUUUUGUCAGAGACAUUUUUGAUCCAACACAGAGGAUGAAGGAUCUGGCGGAUAUGCUGACAAUACAUUAUUAUUUACUAUUUGAUGGAUCCGAUGAAUUUUGGCAGCAUAUCAAGACAUUAUAUAAUGAAUGCUCCACUUUCAGUUUUGGCGGAAAAGAAUCCAUCGGUCCCAACAAUAUUUUUUCAACCCUGUCUAACAUACGGAACACAUUAGCUGGAGAAUGGCCUCCAGAAAAGCUUGUCCAUGUUGUAGAGAAACUUCAAUGUCGAGCUAAUGGUCAAGACGGAGUAGCAAUUCGUGUCUCUGGGUCUUUUAUAGUUGGAAAUCAAUUCCUCAUUUGUGGAGAUGGUAUGCAAGUUGAGGGUCUGCCAAACUUGAAAGAUCUCUCUAUUGACAUACCCAGCAAACGGAUGGGAACCUUUCAUGAACAGUUUAUUGUAGAGAAAGCAAACAUUAU